rnacentral:rRNA from 1 species
ACGGCAGCACAGAGGAGCUUGCUCCUUGGGUGGCCAGUGGGGGACGGGUGAGGAAUACAUCGGAAUCUACUCUGUCGUGGGGGAUAACGUAGGGAAACUUACGCUAAUACCGCAUACGACCUACGGGUGAAAGCAGGGGAUCUUCGGACCUUGCUCGAUUGAAUGAGCCGAUGUCGGAUUAGCUAUUUGGCGGGGUAAAGGCCCACCAAGGCGACGAUCCGUAUCUGGUCUGAGAGGAUGAUCAACCACACUGGAACUGACACACGGUCCAGACUCCUACGGGAGGCAGCACUGGGGAAUAUUGGACAAUGGGCCCAAGCCUGAUCC